CCUACGGGCGGCUGCAGUAAGGAAUCUUCCUCAAUGGCCGAAAGGCUGAAGGAGCGACAUCGCGUGCAGGAGGAAGCCCUUCGGGGUGUAAACUGCUUUUCUCUAGGAAGAAACAAUGACGGUACUAGAGGAAUAAGGGGUUGCUAAACUCGUGCCAGCAGCAGCGGUAAUACGAGUACCCCGAGCGUUAUCCGGAUUUAUUGGGCGUAAAGCGUGCGCAGACGGUUUAUAACAUCUCCUGUUAAAUCCCAAGGCUCAACCUUGGGGCCGCGGGAGAUAUGGAUAAACUAGAGGCUGGAAGAGGUAAGCGGAAUUGCUGGUGUAGGGGUUAAAUCCGUUAAUAUCAGCAGGAACACCAAAAGCGAAGGCAGCUUACUGGAACAGUUCUGACGUUCAGGCACGAAAGCGUGGGGAGCGAACGGGCUUAGAUACCCCGGUAGUC
rnacentral:rRNA from 1 species